rnacentral:rRNA from 1 species
GGGUUGUGAGGUUAAGCGACUAAGCGUACACGGUGGAUGCCCUGGCAGUCAGAGGCGAUGAAGGACGUGCUAAUCUGCGAUAAGCGUCGGUAAGGUGAUAUGAACCGUUAUAACCGGCGAUUUCCGAAUGGGGAAACCCAGUGUGUUUCGACACACUAUCAUUAACUGAAUCCAUAGGUUAAUGAGGCGAACCGGGGGAACUGAAACAUCUAAGUACCCCGAGGAAAAGAAAUCAACCGAGAUUCCCCCAGUAGCGGCGAGCGAACGGGGAGCAGCCCAGAGCCUGAAUCAGUGUGUGUGUUAGUGGAAGCGUCUGGAAAGGCGCGCGAUACAGGGUGACAGCCCCGUACACAAAAAUGCACAUAUUGUGAGCUCGAUG